rnacentral:rRNA from 1 species
UACGGGGGGAGCAAGCGUUGUUCGGAUUUACUGGGCGUAAAGGGCGCGUAGGCGGUCGUGACAAGUCACUUGUGAAAUCUCCGGGCUUAACUCGGAACGGUCAAGUGAUACUGUCGGAAUAGAGUACAGAAGGGGCAACUGGAAUUCUCGGUGUAGCGGUGAAAUGCGUAGAUAUCGAGAGGAACACCUGCGGCGAAGGCGGGUUGCUGGGCUGAUACUGACGCUGAGGCGCGAAAGCCAGGGGAGCGAACGGG